UACGAAGGGUGCAAGCGUUAAUCGGAAUUACUGGGCGUAAAGCGUGCGUAGGUGGUUUGUUAAGUCUGCUGUGAAAGCCCUGGGCUCAACCUGGGAAUUGCAGUGGAUACUGGCUAACUAGAGUGCGGUAGAGGGUUGUGGAAUUCCCGGUGUAGCAGUGAAAUGCGUAGAUAUCGGGAGGAACACCAGUGGCGAAGGCGGCAACCUGGACCAGCACUGACACUGAGGCACGAAAGCGUGGGGAGCAAAC
rnacentral:rRNA from 1 species